rnacentral:rRNA from 1 species
GACGUAGGGUGCAAGCGUUGUCCGGAAUUAUUGGGCGUAAAGAGCUCGUAGGCGGCCUGUCGCGUCGACUGUGAAAACCCAGGGCUCAACCCUGGGCCUGCAGUCGAUACGGGCAGGCUAGAGUGCAGUAGGGGAGACUGGAAUUCCUGGUGUAGCGGUGAAAUGCGCAGAUAUCAGGAGGAACACCGGUGGCGAAGGCGGGUCUCUGGACAGUUCCUGACGCUGAGGCACGAAGGUCAGGGGAGCAAACGGG